rnacentral:rRNA from 1 species
UACGGAGGGUGCGAGCGUUGUCCGGAAUCACUGGGCGUAAAGGGCGCGUAGGUGGCCCGGUCAGCGUGCGGUGAAAGCUCGGGGCUCAACCCCGAGUCGGCCGUGCGAACUGCUGGGCUGGAGCACUGUAGAGGCAGGCGGAAUUCCGGGUGUAGCGGUGGAAUGCGUAGAGAUCCGGAAGAACACCGGUGGCGAAGGUGGCCUGCUGGGCAGUGGCUGACACUGAGGAGCGAAAGCGUGGGGAGCGAACAGG